GCUUACGGCCAUACCACCCUGAGAACGCCCGAUCUCGUCUGAUCACGGAAGCUAAGCAGGGUCGGGCCUGGUUAGUACUUGGAUGGGAGACCGCCUGGGAAUACCAGGUGCUGUAAGCU
rnacentral:rRNA from 1 species